rnacentral:misc_RNA from 1 species
GACCCAAUAGGUCUAACUCUGAUACCAUGACAAAUUAGUCCUUAAGCCUAACUCACACCCUAAAAGAUAACUCAAACAGAGGAAGAUUACUCAAGUCUUAGAAGAAGUCCGGGGUUCUCAUCCCGGUCCGAUAUAGGACCAUUAUCAUCAACUCCCCCAUCAUGCCCGAUCCAAACAUUCUUUAUCCAGCCAGAGCAGUAACAUUCAAGGACUGAG